rnacentral:rRNA from 1 species
UGCCAGCCGCCGCGGUAAUACGGAGGGUGCAAACGUUGUUCGGAAUCACUGGGCAUAAAGAGCACGUAGGUGGUCUUCUAAGUCAGGUGUGAAAGCCCCCGGCUCAACCGGGGAACUGCAUCUGAUACUGGGAGACUCGAGAUCGGUAGGGGUAAGUGGAACUCCAGGUGGAGCGGUGAAAUGCGUAGAGAUCUGGAGGAACACCGGUGGCGAAAGCGACUUACUGGACCGAUUCUGACACUGAGGUGCGAAAGCCAGGGGAGCAAACGGGAUUAGAUA